rnacentral:lncRNA from 1 species
UCUUCGUACCCCCACCCCAUUUCUUCAUCUUUUUCAUAGCCUCCACCCCCACCACACCCAGUUUCUUCAUCUUCUUCAUCUAGGCUAAAUUUUUUUUUUUUCAAGAACACCAUUACUAAGCUCCAUUAAUCCCUCCCUUCAUUAAUUUUUUUUUUUACUUUAUUUAAUUUUUUCAGAUGACUACAUCCAAUUUGUGAUGAUAAAUAACUUAUGACAAUUUAUCACUUCCUCAUCGUGUGCUUAUUGGAGCAUUUGAGAAGGUUUGAAAUAAUGGUAUUAAUGGUGAAAAAAUUAAAGCAGGAAGCAUUUUCACAGCAGAUCGGAACAAAGGAACGAAUAUUAGUAUUAUUGCUGCUAAAUCGUUUGGUAGAUCUGAAAUUAUUGUGGAUGAGUUUAGAUUUUGUUCUACUUGCAAUUGUUGAUUUUUGAAUGUUGAUAGAGGAGCCAUGACUUAAUCUACAUGAACAAGUUAUUUAUCAAUUUCUUGUUAAAUUCGAAUCAAGUUAUUGAUGUUAAUGGUGAAAAAUGGUGUGAAAGAAUAUGUUUAUUGAAUUAUUUUUUUAAAAAAAUUAUAAUUUCUUACGUGGCAAUGAUAUGGCACUGAUGUGGCAAUUACGUGGGGCGCGUGCACUUCACUCUCCAUAUUGAGAGUGGUAUAAUUUUUUUAGGGUGAAAAAAAUUCACGUGAAAAUUGUUUAGGGAGUAAAUAAUUGUCCAAUUAGUUUAGUAUCUAAAGUAAGUUUUGACUACAAGUUUAGGAGUGUUUCGAUGUAUUAUUUCUCAUUUUAAUGAAGAAAGCUUCAAUGUAGUGACUCUUUUUCUUGGAAAGGAGGUACAUUAUGUUGAUAUUGAGCUUUUUAGAUCUUCCCAUAUUUUCCCCAACUUCUCUAUAUAUUUUAAUCAAGUGUAAAAGAAAAAAAUUGUAAAACUUACUCAACUAAUUAAUAAACCCUUUUGUUUGUUGUAAAAAAUAAAUACUUUUUGUAUUGUAAAAAGAUGACAAUCGAAGUUCAAAUAUCAAAAUAAUUAUAAUAAUGUCUAAUUUCUGAGUGAAUUGAUCAGUUCAUAGAUAUUUCUAAUAAAAAUAUACUUUACAUGCAUAAAAACUGCAUAAGUGAUAAGAUAAAUCACAUCUUUUGUCGGAGUAUAUAUGAAUUAAUUAAUUUAGAGAGUGGUACACCUCAUAAGAAAGAAUUAAAGAAAUUAAGCAAAAGGUAAUAUGACGAUAUUAAUCAAUAUUACUUUUUGAUUCUUUUCAAACUCUUUUUAAAAUUUAAAAAUUGUUGAAAACCCACAUUAAAAAGAAGAGUAAUUCUUAAAAGAAUAAUUAAUGCAUUCUUAAACUUUACAAAAUUCAUUCAUUUUGAACCAUAAAAAAGUGUAACAAUUCAUUAUAUUGAAUUAAGUGAAGUAUCAAACAUUAACUAACUAUGCACAACUUUUUUCAUUCAUCUUGACUUGUUGAUAUUUGACUUGACAAUCACUCAAUUAAUUAUAGUCAUAUAAAUGGUGAAAAAUUGAAUAGUAAUUACUAACAAAGAUAAAAUAGAUCAUAUAAGAUGAUAAAUUAUACUUUAAUUUUUCAUAAUGAAUAAGUAAAAUUAGACAAAUUAUUUUUAGUAUAUGUGGGUAAUCACAUAUAGAAGCUGCCCGAGCUAGCUUUCCAAUUGAAAUCACAUAUUGAUUCUAAAAUAUAGCUGCCUUAGCUAGGUUUCUGCCCAUAUUCGAAAUAAUGAAGCUGGCAGCUUCUUUUCUGGAUGAUAUUUUCGUCAAGCUUUCAAAAUGUACUGAUUGUUAAUGCAAUGUUCAAUUUACAACUUCAACGCUUUUUGAUUUACAAAUUACUAUCAUCAAUCUAUAUACCAUCAAACAACCACGAAGCUCUCUUUCUGUCUCUCUCUCACACACACACUCCGAGGCAUGGUAAGAUAAUAGUAUUAUCUUGAGUUUGGACUUGAACCAACAUCGCUCAACAAUUCUUUCUUCGGAAGUCGGACAUUUAUGCUUAAUUUUGUUAAUUUUAAUUUUUUUUAUUGAGUUAACAGAACGUAGUAAAGUUCAAAUGAUACAAGGUGUAAGCUUAUAAUCACAGAUAAUUUUUUUUUCUUAUUUUUUGAUUGCAGUAAUUUAUCUUAAUUGCAGGAGGGAGACCUGGGUGCUGGCGAGUAAAAGUAUCCCAUAUGCUAGGUCCUCUUCCCCCUUUAAGCGCUUCUCCUUCAAUCUGAAAGCUCAUUAAGCAAAAUAAAUAAAUAAAUAAAUAAAGUUAUGCCUUUAUGUGUUGGUAAUUUUCAAAAUAAAAACUAGCUUAAUAGUCUUUUGGAUAAGAUGGCUAAACAUUUCAAUAUAAUGUUAAGAUCAAGCAAAGGUUGUAUGUUCUAUUCUCACUAUUAUCAACAACAAAAAAAGAAAAGAUUCAGGUGCUUAAAUAAUGAAAAAUCCGUAAGCCCACACACGUGAAGGAUGGGAGAUCUGGAAGCACAUUGUUUGCGAAUUCACAUGAAUCCAAUAGAUUUUACAUAGACCUAUAUAAAUCUUAAGAGAUCCACUAAUUUUUUUUUAUAAAUAUUUAAGUGUGAACUUAAUUAAUAUUAUUGUAUUAACUAGAGGUCAUCGUAUAAACCAUAAACUUCAAAUAUUUGUUAAAAAUGGUGGGAUAUCCUAUUCAAAAAGAUAGUUGUGUGUUUUAAAUUUGAAUAUCUUCCGUAGGAUAAAUACCAAUAGCUUCUCUCUCCUCUUAAAGACUUCUACGGGUGUUUGCGUUAUCAUCAAGAAGAGAAAACGAAAGGAUACCUGGUAAGCAGCUGAUGAAGCGCCAAAAACAAAAUCAGGAGGAAAGCUGGUUCGAUUAAAUGGAGCAUGAAAGUGCUUUGCAGGGAUUGCAGCGCUCGUUAGAGCAAACAAAUUUGCAAGUGCUACAAGGUAAAGGAAGCAGAAGCUUAAGAGAGUUGUCAUAACCAUUGUUGGUUUGCUAGCUUCUGCCUAAGUUGUAGUUUAACUUCAUGCAAUGCCCUCACUAUUUAUAGAGAUGCAAUACAAAAAUAUUAAAAUAAUCUUUGCCUGUUGUUUAUUUAUGCCAGCUAUCAUGAAAAUCAACGUUCCUUCGAUGUCUGUUGUUUUAUUGUUGUAGCUUCGUUUCUUUUUUCAGAUUUUUUUUU